ACUAACCCACUUUCCGAAACUUCUUAGAACCAAAGCUACUUCACAAUCAAAGAAUAAAUGCGGGAUAAAAUAUAAAUAAAAAAUAUAUAAAAUUAGUUAUAUUAUUUAAAAAAAUUCAAAUAAAAAAGGAAAUAUUCCUCUUAAAUAAAUAAAGUAGUAUUAAUGUUAUUCUAGAUAAAAUAUAAAUAAAAACUAUACAUAUCAUUUUUUAAUUUUGAAAUCUUUGAUACAAAUUAUUAUUGUUAUUUUUAUUUUAUUUCUAAGUGAUCCAAUAAACCAACAUAUCCAACACCACACUAUCCAACCCAUCUUUUGAAAAUUCUCAACCCUAAACUAUCUCC
rnacentral:lncRNA from 1 species